GACGAACGCUGGCGGCGUGCCUAAUACAUGCAAGUCGAGCGGACCAAUAGAAGCUUGCUUCUGUUGGUUAGCGGCGGACGGGUGAGUAACACGUGGGCAACCUGCCUGUAAGACUGGGAUAACUUCGGGAAACCGGAGCUAAUACCGGAUAAUUCAUCCCCUCGCAUGAGGGGAUGCUGAAAGUCGGUUUACGCUGACACUUACAGAUGGGCCCGCGGCGCAUUAACUAGUUGGUGAGGUAAUGGCUCACCAAGGCGACGAUGCGUAGCCGACCUGCGGGGGUGAGCGGCCACACUGGGACUGAGACACGGCCCAGACUCCUACGGGAGGCAGCAGUAGGGAAUCUUCCACAAUGGACGAAAGUCUGAUGGGGCAACGCCGCGUGAGCGAUGAAGGCCUUCGGGUCGUAAAGCUCUGUUGUUAGGGAAGAACAAGUAUCGGAGUAACUGCCGGUACCUUGACGGUACCUAACCAGAAAGCCAUGGCUAACUACGUGCCAGCAGCCGCGGUAA
rnacentral:rRNA from 1 species